GGGCCCGCACAAGCGGUGGAGCAUGUGGUUCAAUUCGACGCAACGCGAAGAACCUUACCUGGGCUCGAAAUGUAGUGGACUGAGGUAGAAAUAUCUCUUUCUCGCAAGAGACUGCUAUAUAGGUGCUGCAUGGCUGUCGUCAGCUCGUGUCGUGAGAUGUUGGGUUAAGUCCCGCAACGAGCGCAACCCUUAUCUUUAGUUGCCAUCAGGUCAAGCUGGGCACUCUAACGAAACCGCCUCGGAUAACGGGGAGGAAGGUGGGGAUGACGUCAAGUCCUCAUGGCCUUUAUGUCCAGGGCUACACACGUGCUACAAUGGUCGGUACAAACCGUCGCAGACCCGCGAGGGGAAGCCAAUCGGAAAAAGCCGGCCUCAGUUCGGAUUGGAGUCUGCAACUCGACUCCAUGAAGCUGGAAUCGCUAGUAAUCGCGGAUCAGAACGCCGCGGUGAAUACGUUCCCGGGCCUU
rnacentral:rRNA from 1 species